rnacentral:rRNA from 1 species
UGGGUAACCUGCCUCAAAGAGGGGAAUAGCCUCCCGAAAGGGAGAUUAAUACCGCAUAAUAUGUUUUAGUCGCAUGACUUAAACAUCAAAGGAUUUUCUUUUAGAAGUUCCACUUUGAGAUGGACCCGCGGCGCAUUAGUUAGUUGGUGAGGUAACGGCUCACCAAGGCAACGAUGCGUAGCCGACCUGAGAGGGUGAUCGGCCACAUUGGAACUGAGACACGGUCCAGACUCCUACGGGAGCAG